GAAAUGCGAUAAGUAAUGUGAAUUGCAGAAUUCAGUGAAUCAUCGAAUCUUUGAACGCACCUUGCGCUCCUUGGUAUUCCUUGGAGCAUGCCUGUUUGAGUAUCAUGAAAUCUUGAAAGUAAAUCUUUUGUUAACUCAAUUGGUUUCUACUUUGGUAUUGGAGGUCUUUGCAGCUUCACACCUGCUCCUCUUUGUUCAUUAGCUGGAUCUCAGUGUUAUGCUUGGUUCCACUCGGCGUGAUAAGUUAUCUAUCGCUGAGGACACUGUAAAAGGUGGCCAAGGUAAAUGCAGAUGAACCGCUUCUAAUAGUCCAUUGACUUGGACAAUACUUUUAUGAUCUGAUCUCAAAUCAGGUAGGACUACCCGCUGAACUUAAGC
rnacentral:misc_RNA from 1 species